AAGUGGAGCAAUCCAUGAGUACAGUGGCGUACGGGUGAGUAACACGUGACUAACCUACCCUCGAGUGGGGAAUAACCUCGGGAAACCGGGGCUGAUACCGCAUAACAUCUUCGGAUCAAAUGCGUAAGCAGCUUGAGGAGGGGGUCGCGGCCGAUUAGCUAGUUGGCGGGGUAAUGGCCCACCAGGGCAAUGAUCGGUAGCCGGCCUGAGAGGGCGCACGGCCACACUGGAACUGAAACACGGUCCAGACUCCUACGGGAGGCAGCAGUGGGGAAUUUUGCGCAAUGGGGGAAACCCUGACGCAGCAACGCCGCGUGGAGGAUGAAGCCCUUUGGG
rnacentral:rRNA from 1 species